rnacentral:rRNA from 1 species
AUUAUCCUACGGGACGCAGCAGUGGGGAAUAUUGCACAAUGGGGGAAACCCUGAUGCAGCAACGCCGCGUGAGUGAAGAAGGUUUUCGGAUUGUAAAGCUCUGUUAGCAGGGAAGAGGAAGGACGGUACCUGCAGAGGAAGCCACGGCUAACUACGUGCCAGCAGCCGCGGUAAUACGUAGGUGGCACGCGUUGUUCGGAAUAACUGGGCGUAAAGGAUGCGUAGGCGGUUAAACAAGUUAUAUGUUAAAUAUAUAGGCUUAACCUGUAUAAAGCAUAUAAAACUGUUUAACUAGAGUG